rnacentral:rRNA from 1 species
UACGAAGGGGGCUAGCGUUGUUCGGAAUUACUGGGCGUAAAGCGUGCGCAGGCGGCUUCUCAAGUCAGGGGUGAAAGCCCAGAGCUCAACUCUGGAAUUGCCUUUGAGACUGAGUGGCUUGAGUACGAGAGAGGUGAGUGGAAUUCCCAGUGUAGAGGUGAAAUUCGUAGAUAUUGGGAAGAACACCGGUGGCGAAGGCGGCUCACUGGCUCGUAACUGACGCCCCAUGCACGACAGCGUGGGGAUCAAACAGG